GGUUAAGUGACUAAGCGUAUAUGGUGGAUGCCUUGGCAGUCAGAGGCGAUGAAGGACGUAAUUACUUGCGAUAAGCGUAGAUAAGGUAGUUGUAACCAUUUGAGUCUACGAUUUCCGAAUGGGGAAACCCACGUGCAUAAGUACGUAUCAUGGCGUGAAUACAUAGCGGCAUGAAGCAAACUCGGGGAACUGAAACAUCUAAGUACCCGAAGGAAAAGAAAUCAAUUGAGAUUCCGGCAGUAGCGGCGAGCGACCCCGGACUAGCCCUUAAGUAGUUUAAGCAUUAGUGGAAUAGCCUGGAAAGGCUAGCGAUACAAGGUGAUAGCCCCGUACACGACGAUGCCUUUACUGUGAAAACGAGUAAAACGGGACACGUGAUAUCCUGUUUGAACAUGGGGGGACCAUCCUCUAAGGCUAAAUACUCCUGACUGACCGAUAGUGAACUAGUACCGUGAGGGAAAGGCGAAAAGAACCCCUGUGAGGGGAGUGAAAUAGAACCUGAAACCGUAUACGUACAAGCAGUAGGAGCCCUUUUAUGGGUGACUGCGUACCUUUUGUAUAAUGGGUCAGCGACUUACUUUUAGUAGCAAGGUUAACCAUAUAGGGGAGCCGUAGGGAAACCGAGUCUUAACUGGGCGUUAUAGUUGCUAGGAGUAGACCCGAAACCGAGUGAUCUAGCCAUGGGCAGGUUGAAGAUUGAGUAACAUCAACUGGAGGACCGAACCGACUAAUGUUGAAAAAUUAGCGGAUGACUUGUGGCUAGGGGUGAAAGGCCAAUCAAACUCGGAGAUAGCUGGUUCUCCCCGAAAUCUAUUUAGGUAGAGCCUCGGACGAAUACUACUGGGGGUAGAGCACUGUUAGGGCUAGGGGGUCAUCCCGACUUAUCAAACCUUUGCAAACUCCGAAUACCAGUAAGUACUAUCCGGGAGACACACGGCGGGUGCUAACGUCCGUCGUGGAAAGGGAAACAACCCAGACCGCCAGCUAAGGUCCCUAAGUUAUUACUAAGUGGGAAACGAUGUGGGAAGGCUUAGACAGCCAGGAUGUUGGCUUAGAAGCAGCCAUCAUUUAAAGAAAGCGUAAUAGCUCACUGGUUGAGUCGGCCUGCGCGGAAGAUGUAACGGGGCUAAGUAAUGCACCGAAGCUGCGGCAAUAUGCUUAGGUAUAUUGGGUAGGGGAGCGUUCUGUAAGCCGUUGAAGGUGAUCUGUAAGGAUUUCUGGAGGUAUCAGAAGUGCGAAUGCUGACAUAAGUAACGAUAAAGGGAGUGAAAAACUCCCUCGCCGGAAAACCAAGGGUUCCUGUCCGACGUUAAUCGGGGCAGGGUAAGUCGACCCCUAAGGCGAGGCUGAUAAGCGUAGUCGAUGGGAAACGGGUUAAUAUUCCCGUACUACUUAUAACUGCGAUGGGGGGGACGGAGAAGGCUAGGUGAGCUUGGCGUUGGUUGUCCAAGUUUAAGUGUGUAGGUGGGUGUCUUAGGCAAAUCCGAGAUACUUUUAACACUGAGGCACGAUAUCGAACCAUUAAGGUGGUGAAGUCAUUGAUGCCAUGCUUCCUGGAAAAGCCUCUAAGCUUCAGGUUAUAAGAAAUCGUACCCCAAACCGACACAGGUGGUUAGGUAGAGAAUACUAAGGCGCUUAAGAGAACUCGGGUGAAGGAACUAGGCAAAAUGGUACCGUAACUUCGGGAGAAGGUACGCUUCUGUUGGUAACGUUUCUUGCGAACAGAGCUGACGGAAGUCGAAGAUACCAGGUGGCUGCAACUGUUUACUAAAAACACAGCACUGUGCAAAAUCGAAAGAUGACGUAUACGGUGUGACGCCUGCCCGGUGCCGGAAGGUUAAUUAAUGGGGUUAUCUUCGGAGAAGCUCUUGAUCGAAGCCCCGGUAAACGGCGGCCGUAACUAUAACGGUCCUAAGGUAGCGAAAUUCCUUGUCGGGUAAGUUCCGACCUGCACGAAUGGCGUAAUGAUGGCCACACUGUCUCCACCCGAGACUUAGUGAAAUUGAAAUCGCAGUGAAGAUGCUGUGUACCCGCGGCUAGACGGAAAGACCCCGUGAACCUUUACUAUAGCUUGGCACUGAAUAUUGACCCUAUAUGUGUAGGAUAGGUGGGAGCCUUUGAAGCAUUGUCGUUAGAUGGUGUGGAGGCACUGUUGAAAUACCACCCUUGUAUGUUUAAUGUUCUAACGUUGACCCCUUAUCGGGGUUGCGGACAGUGUCUGGUGGGUAGUUUGACUGGGGCGGUCUCCUCCUAAAGAGUAACGGAGGAGUACGAAGGUGGGCUAAUCACGGUCGGACAUCGUGAGGUUAGUGCAAUGGCAUAAGCCCGCUUGACUGCGAGAAUGACAAUUCGAGCAGGUGCGAAAGCAGGUCAUAGUGAUCCGGUGGUUCUGAAUGGAAGGGCCAUCGCUCAACGGAUAAAAGGUACUCCGGGGAUAACAGGCUAAUACCGCCCAAGAGUUCAUAUCGACGGCGGUGUUUGGCACCUCGAUGUCGGCUCAUCACAUCCUGGGGCUGAAGCUGGUCCCAAGGGUAUGGCUGUUCGCCAUUUAAAGUGGUACGCGAGCUGGGUUUAGAACGUCGUGAGACAGUUCGGUCCCUAUCUGUCGUGGGCGUUGAAUGAUUGAGAGGAGCUGCUCCUAGUACGAGAGGACCGGAGUGGACGAACCUCUGGUGUUCGGGUUGUCACGCCAGUGGCAUUGCCUGGUAGCUAAGUUCGGAAUUGAUAAGCGCUGAAAGCAUCUAAGCGCGAAGCGAGCCUCAAGAUGAGUCAUUCCUAGACCUUAAAGGUCUCUAAAGGGUUGUUGAAGACUACGACGUUGAUAGGCAGGGUGUGUAAGUGCUGCGAAGUAUUGAGCUAACCUGUACUAAUUACCCGUGAGACUUAAUCAUACAACACCCAAGGGGUUUUA
rnacentral:rRNA from 1 species